AGCAAACCCAAGUGAGCUCUGAAAUUUACUAGUCAGUUGGAGGAGGAACCAGUAGAGGAAACUGAAAAAGAAAAGAGAAACGAGAAAAAGCCAGAGAAACGAGAGAAAGACCCAUAGAUUUCAGGGUCAGUGAAACCAGAAAAGGGAUUAUUCCAUUGCUGCAGAUGAGGAAAUUGAAGAAUAAGGAGGACAGACCCAAGACCAAAGACCUAGAAACUGAGAAAACAAGGAUGUUUCCAGGACUCAAAGUCAUUUCUGUCUUUCAAGGAAGUCCCCGUACCCUUAACUGUGGCCCAAAAAGUCACUUUUAUCUCUGAGAGAAGAAAUACACUAUGUGCCUCCUUUGAUCAGCUGUGUGUGUCCUCUGAUCUCCCUGCAAGUCACCCCAGCCACAUCUCAUGCAGGCAUUAACUCUAAAGCCGGGGUUAGUAUGGUCAACAUCCAUGGAGAAAAUAUUUUUUCAAUCUACAACAUCAAAAACUCUACAAAGGACUUGAAGAAUCAUGGCUUAAGACUUUAAAGGAUUGUCGAUAGCAAUGUUCAGCCACAAAGAUGACUUAGUAGUCUCUGAUCUUCUGUUUUAUCCACUGAUUGUCCAGAACACAGACCACAAAACUGGCUCAGCCUUAGCCUCCCUGAGCAUAUGAUGAGAGCCAUGUGUUUUCUGGACAAGCACCUCCUUGCCUAAAGAAAGGAAUUGUCCAUAUUAAGAUUCCUCCUUCAGUCUCCUAGGAUAAAAGACACAUGGAGAAGAGUAGAACCAUCCUUGAACUUCAAUCAACAUAGAAGAUAAACAAGAAACACACUUUUGUUCUUAUGAUCCAUAGCAAUUUCUGGGAUCAUUUGUUACCACAGGAGAGAUAACAAAUACAAGAAACAAGAUUAACAAUCUGAACAAGGAAAACUGGAAGGAGCAUAAAUAAUUUAAGAGACAAAAAAAAUUCAAGUUCAUAAUAAGAAACUUCAGAAUAUUUUGAGAAAAUAUAUUCAUAAUCAAGAUUACGAUUUUUAAAAGUCAUUAAAGGUCUUUAAAUAAUGUAUAAAAUAUUAUCUAAAACAUGAAUUUAAUCAAGGGGCUAUACAAUAAAAUCAGCAUAAUGGCAACCAUGUGAUCUAGAACAGGGGUUCUCAACUUGAUUUUACUUACUGGCCACCUGAUAAUCUUGUGAAAAUGCAGAUUCUAAUUUAGUAGGUUUUAGAUGGGGUUUAAGGAAUUGCAUUUAUAAUUAAAAAUUCUCAGGUAAUUUUGAUGCUAUUGGUCCAAGAUUCAGAAUUUGGGAAUCACUGUUCUAGAUUCUUGCUACUCAGAGGAUGGCCCAAAGACCAGUAGCUUCAACAUCACCUGGGAGUUAGUUAGACAUGUGGUAUAGAUCCUUAGCCAUACUUGUGGUCCGCAUCCCAGUAGCAUCAAAAUCACCAGAGAACUUGUUAGAAACUCAAUGUUUUGGACUAUACCCCAGGAACUACUGAAUCAGAAACUCUGAGGGUGAAACCCAACAAUUUUCUAGCAAGUUCCCCAUCCAUGAUUCUAAUUCAUGCUGAAAUCUGAGAACAACUGAUUUAGAAAUAAUAGGGGAUGUCUGUUUAAAACGAUGUGUAACAAAUAACAGAAAAGACAGGUUUAAAAAAAGAAAAUGUGUGGAAAAAAAGUGAAAUGAACUGUCAAAAGAAGUCAAAGAAGAGGAUAAAAUACAUGAUAGCAGUGAGAAGGGAGAAGUUUCCAGACUAAAGGACUCCUAAACAUUAAGCAGGAUUAAUAAAAUCUUCACAUCUAGAUGCUGGUAGGUAAAUGUUCAGAGAGAGAGUUUUCAAAUUGUCAGUAUAGGAAACAUUUUUACUCAAUGAAUCCCAGGCAAUUCAUUUACUCUUUUAAUGUGUAAACUCUAUAACUGAAACUGGUAUUCCUAGCCUCCCACCCCAAGAUGAGUAAUAUGAAAUUAAAAUGAGUAAAGAUUAAAACUUCUCAGUUUCCCUCCCACAUACUCUUAAAACUGCUUUAAAAACAUUUCUUUGGUAAAUUAUUUGAUGUUUUCAUAGUUAUUGUAGAACACUGGGAUAAAAUAGGCUUGAUUUCAGAUAAAAGUGAUAGCCUAGGGGUUUGGGGUGGAGCUCAGAGGUAGAGCACCUGCCUAGUAUAUGCUAGCUAGGUCCUAGGUUCAAUCCCCAGCACCAGCACUGCAAGAAAACUAAAAAAGUGAUAACUUAAUCCUUUACUUGGUGGCGUAAAAAUGCUUGAAUUAAAUGGUAUUGUGCUUUGUCACCUUUUAAUAUAUAUCUUUUAAAAAUAGAAAUAAUUUUAACAGCUUAGUUUUAGGAAGAAGCCAAUCUUGCUACAAUUGUUUAGCAAUUUUGAGUCUAGCAAUAUAAAUAUUCAACUAUGUAGUUUACUUAAUACUAAACACACAUAUAUUAAAAGAAAAAAGUUUACAAGAUUUUAGGCAACAAAUUUAUUCUCUGAAAUGCUUUUCUUUUGAUAAAUCAAAGAAAUUGAACAGGUUCUAUUUUUAGAGGGAAAAGUUUCCAAUACAUAGUGGAAUUUCAUGACCUUUUUGCAAUUUGGUUACUAACUUGUGUGACUUAAUUCCAAAAUCAUUGAGCAUUUAUUACAAUCCUACCUGGCUAUGAGAAGGCAACUGGUUUUGCCCUCCAUUAAGUUUAUAUUCUGUUGAAAGCAAGCAGGAAGCAAGGAAGAAAUGAACUCAUUAUAGGUAGAUGCUACAGAGAAAAUGAACAAGAUUCAGAGAAUAACAAAAGGGAUGGGGAGGUAUCCUUACAAGGGGUCUUUAGUAACUGUCAUAUGACCCAAAAGGGCAUAAGCAACCAUCCAUGCAAAGUGAAGGAAGAGGACAGUCCUGGCACAGAAAAGAACAAAUACAAAAGUCUUGGAAUGUAAUAGAGUACAGAGUGUCCUAGGAAGUCAAAAGAUAUCAGGGGCUAGGCAAGGGAGAGGCCCCAAAUGGGCAAAUAAAACCAAAUAGGGAUCAGAUGUGAACAGGUUUGAUGGCUGUUGGAAGGAGUAAUGAAAAACCAUGGAGAGUUUCAAGCAGGAAGACACAUUUUUAAAUUUGUGUUUUCAAAAUAUUACUUGGUUACCCAGUGGAAUAGCUAUUAUUAAAAAAAAAAAAAAGUAGCACAUGUUGGCAAGGAUGCGGAGAAGCUGAAAUCCUGGUGUACUGCUGGUGAGAAUGUGAAACGCUACAGCUGCUGUGGAAAACAGUAUGACAGUUCCUCAAAAUAUUAAAAAUAGUAUUACCAUAUGAUCCAGCAGUCCCACUUCUCUGCAUUUAUCUAAUAGAAUCCAAAGCAGUAUCUCAAAGAGAUAUUUUCACACCCAACAGCAGCCCAGGGGUGGAAGCAACCCUACAUGUCCAUUGAUGGAUGAACAAAGAAACAAAAUGUUGUCUCUACAUACAAUGGAAUAUUAUUCAGUGUUGAAAAGGAAGGAAAUCUUGAUGCAUGCUACACCAUGGAUAAAUCUUGAGGACAUUAUGCUAAGUGAAAUAAGCCAGACACACACACAAAAAAACCAAGUAUAGUAAGUUUCCACCUACAUGAGGUAUCCAGUGUGUUGAAAUUCAGAGAUACACAGUAGUAAAGUGGAAUGGUGUUUACAGAGGUGCAGGGGUGGGAGAAAGAAACAGAGAAUUAACUAUUUAGUGAUCAGAGUUUCAGUCUGGAAGAUGGGAAAUUUCUGAAAAUGGAUAAUAGUGAUGGGAGUGCAACAAUAUGAAAGUACUCACUGCCACUGACGUGUACCUCUAAGAUGGUUAAAACAGUAAAUUUUAUGUUAAUAAUAUUUUACUAUGAUUAAAAAAUGCUGGUGAACUUCAAAAAACACAAUAUUCUGGCUGUCACAUGAAUAUGGAUUGCAAGGGGACAAAAAUGGAAGUGGAACAGCAGCUGGAAGGCAGGUAACAAUCAAGUUGAAAGGAGAGUGGAGGCUGGGACCAGAAAGCAAGAGCCCCCCUCCCAUUGGGAAGGCCAUUUUAAUAAUAACUGAUUUUGCAAUGACAACAUGAAGCAAGCAUCUUCUAAAAUGUCUAGAUUCUCGUUCCAAUGAGUUCCACUUUGAGUCUGUUCAAUUAGCAAUAAAAAAAAAAACUAAUGCCCAUCAGUAUUCCAUUUGUGGUAUGUAGGAGGUACACACACAUGGAUAUUGAACAGAGGACCACAUUCUAGAGAGUGGGAGGGUCCCCCUGUAAGUCCACAUGUAGGAUUAGCUCAGAUUUCCAACUAUUUCUUCAUGUAAGUAUUACUUUAGAAUCACAAGGAACUUAGAUACAAAUACAGAUUCUGCUAAAUCUAAACUUGAAUACUGAGACAGACAUUGAAAUAUUUCUGAAAACUUGUUCUUUUUAUUUCAACAAAUGCCAUUAUCAAUUGGUCUUUGUGAAUAUUACCAAAUAAUGUCUUUAUCGUGUAAGUGGAUAGACUUCUUAUUUGACCUGCAUGACAUGUACAUAUAGAAAACAACUAGUAAUUACUACUGUUUACAUUGUGAUUUAUGAAAAUGUCCUUGGUAUUGAAUUUUGUAAAUAUACUUAUCUCCUUCUAGUUAUGUUUCUUUUUAAUUUCAGGUUAAGUGCCUUUGAUAUGUGCAGUAGGGGUUGGGCCUCCAUUUCUGGAAAUGCUUGGGACCAGAAGAAUUUUGGAUUGGAGAAAUUUUGAAUUUGGGGAUAUUUGCAUAUACAUAAUGAGAUAUCCUGGAGAUAGGACCUAAGUCUAAAGAUAAAAUUCAUUUGUUUCGUGUAUGCCUUAUAUAUCUUGCUGGAUGGGAACUUCAUAUAAUAAUAUCUUUAGUUGCACCUUGCAGAAGUCAAGUGUGGAAUUUUCCACUUGUGGUGUCCUGCUGGUGCUCAAAACGCUUCAGAUUUUGGAGAAUGAAGUUUUGGAUUAGGAAUUCUCAGCCUGUAUCAACUACUUCUUGAUAACUUGUAGGAUGUAAGAAGAGCUUUCAUAGCAAGCCUCAGGUCUUUAUUUUAAAGUGAUAUGCAAUAUGUCAUAACAUAAAAACAGAAUAAUUUUUUUCAAGAAUAUGUCUGAUAGACUGAUGGCAAAGUGUAAGGUGACUACCUUUUUGUAAUACCUGUGUGCAAUAUUAUAAUAUAUUUUUCAAUCCUCAUAACCUUUCAGGAGGAAUUUAUGUAAUAAAUGAAGGCUUGGCUGAGGGGCCACUUUUCACCUUUACUUUGGCUUUUCUCUCCUCCCUUCAAAACUUUGGAAAACAUGUAAGCGCAUUACUCAGUGAAAUAUUUUAGAGUAUGUUAUUUCAUUCUGUUCUGUCCUAAAAUGAACAUUCUAAAACAAUUCCCACUGGCACAUGUACAAACAGCUUCCAUUUGUGAAACAAUGCCCUUCUGGAUUUUAACUCUCUGACUUCCUGAAAGUUAUUUCCAAGGAAACACAUCUGAAAUGGUGCAUUCUCUUUGCUCAGAUGCAAUUGCUACUUCCUAAUGAACUAACUUUUCAGAAAUUUUUACAUCUUGUUCAGCAGCCAAAGUUCUGCAAACUCUCUGUGUAACAGCAGCAGAAAAUAAGAAGACAAAAGGGAAAAGGUCUCCACAAAUCCUCUGUGGACCACUGUGUAACCUUGGACCGUGCAUCAGGAAAAUCUUGCUUCUAAUUGGAAACAUACUCAGCCUUAAUGCUUUUGCCAGCUGGGAAGCUGAAACUCUGCAAAUGUGAGCAGAAAAAAAAAAUGGGCUAGAUGACUUUUCAGUGGAGGGGUUUUAAAAAAUGGUAUUUUCUCACAGCUAUUCCUGCACAGCAAAUAACUCACUAGUUAAAUCAACAGUUUCCAAGAACUCUAAAAAAGAAACAAAUUAGAAGUAAUGUUGGGAAGUUAAUCUUUGAUUUGUUUUCAAUGAAAAAGCAAUUUGCUCACUAUAGGCUCCUGCAACAUGAGCACCAGGAGUAGAGUUUUAUUUUUCCUAUAUUUACUUGGGAUUCCAGAUUAAACCAUAUCACAGCUUUCAGUUUGACCUAGACCAUUAAGUAUAUUCCAUCCUUACUAUGAGUCACAGUAGUCACUCUUCAAAGACUCCAAUUAGAGUAAUUAUGUUCUUGCUUUGUUUUGUUUUGGAUAUCUUUGUUUUAAAAUUUUGGGUGCAUUAUACAUAGUAGUGGGAAUUAUUUGUCUCUCUUCUUAUUUUCUGCUGCCAUAUACAUACCUACACAUAACAUAAUUUAAUCAAUCUCAUCCCCUAGUCCCUUCCCUUUUCCUCUCCACCUCCUUCCCCGGGGCCACUUACUCUACUGACCUCCCUUCUAUUUUUUUUUUUUUUAUUAUUUCAACUAGUGCCUUAUAAUUAUAUAUGUACAUAUAUAUGUAUAUGUAUAUGGGAUUCAUUGAGGUAUAUUUAUACAUGGACGUAACAUAAUUUAGCAGAUUUCUUUCUCCAGGACUUCCCCAUACCCUCACCUCCUUCCUCCCACUUGAUAUCCUUUCUCUACUCUAUGGGUCUCCCUUCUAUUUUCAUGAGAUCCUCCUUUUACUAUUUCUCUCACUCUCUCUCACUCUCUCCUGCUCUUCCCCUGACCUGCCCCCCUCUCUCUCUGACUUCCACAUGUGAAAGGAAACAUUUUAACCCUUGACUUUCUGAGUCUGGCUUAUUUCACUUAGCAUAAUGUUCUUCAGUUCCAUCCAUUUAACAGCAGUAAAUAACAUAAUUUCAUUUUUCUUUAUGGUUGAGUAAAAACUCCAUUUUGUAUAUCUACUAUAUUUUCUUUACCCAUUCUUCUAUUGAUGGGCACCUGGGCUAGUUCCAUACUUGGCUCUUGUGAAUUGCACUGUUAUAAAAUUGGUGUGCAUAUAUUAUGGUAGUAUGCUGAUUUGAGUUCUUUUGGAUAAAUACCAAGGUAACUAUGCUUUUAAUAAGUCAAAAGCAAAAGGCAUUUUAGACAUAUGUAUUUAUAUACAUAUAUCUUAAAAUCAUUCUAUUUGAAAAGACAAAAUAAGAUUUUUAUCAUUUUUACAAACACCAAAUUGCUAUUUUAACUUCCCAUAAAAUUAUAAUGUGAAAUUCAUAUUCUAUGAUUUUCUUCAGCCAAGGUGUAGCACAGUCCUUGAAGAUAUCCUUAUUCUCACAAAGCAUUUUGUGUUUUGACAUCUGAGUCACAUUUAAGGAGUAAAACCGGCUCUUUCACAGCACAAAUAGCUAUAUAAAUGUCCAGAAUUGUCUUAUAGAUUUUACAACUGAAAAAAAUGCUAUUUGGUUCUUAUUAAAGUCAUAGAAAGGUCAUACUCUAGUGUAUCUCAAAACUUCAUGUAUAUAUAAAUGUCCUAGGAACCAAAAUGUAGACACUGAAGGAUUGAACCUGUCACAAAGCCUGAGAAUCUGCAUUUCUGACAACUUUGCAGGGAAUGGAAUCCACCAUAGUUGAUUAAAUGAUGUACUUAACUCAAUACC